GGCCGUUUGGCUCAAUGGUAGAGCGUCCGCCUCCUAUGCAACCGCAAUAGUUCAGCGGAAGGUGUACGUCAGUCGACAUGACUGCAAAAGAGAAUCCGACUGACCCGCCUUAGUGUGGGUUCGAGUCCCAUGAUGGGUA